GAGGUUGUGGCUCAGUGGUAGAGCACUUGCCUAAUAAGUGUGAGGCUCUGGGUUCCAUCCUCAGCACCGCA
rnacentral:tRNA from 1 species